AUGACACAAGACAUUGCUAAUCAACGAGCUAAGUUCCUCUUAGAGCACCGCCACAAGGACGUUGGAAGCACAAUUGCAUACUUCCAAUAGUUGAGGGCCAAAGAUUCAUAUUUCUACUGGAGAAUCAAACUUGAUGAUGAGGACAGGGUUGAGAACUUGUUCUGGAUAGAUGGCGCAUCACGCAGGGCAUAUGCAAAGUAUAAUGACUGUUUGUCGUUUGACACGACAUACAUGACAAACAUGUACAAGAUGCCGUGUGCACCAUUCAUUGGAAUUAAUAACCAUGGUCAAUCCAUCCAGUUUGGAUGUGGCUUCGUUCGAAACAAACUAAAGGAAAACUUUGUGUGGCUGUUUAACACAUUCCUCCAUGCAAUGGGUGGUGUUGCCCCUAAAAACAUCAUCACAGACCAGGACUUUGCAAUGAGGAGUGCGAUCGACGAGGUCCUCUUGAACAUAAUACACAGAAAUUGCCAUUGGCAUAUAAUGAAGAAGGCGCAAGAGAAACUUGGAAAACUUAUGACUGAUGAUAAACCACUAAACAAAGCGUUCAAAGACUGUGUCGACAACAGCUUGACUGAGGAAGAGUUUGAAAACAAAUGGUGGGCAAUGAUGGAUGAAUAUGGCCAGAUCGACAACGAACAUUUUCAAUGGUUGUGGGAAAAUAGGAAAUGUUGGGCCCCAGUGUACUACAUGAAGCAUUUCUUUCCAUUCUUGCAGACAACUGCAAGGAGCGAGGGAUUCAAUGCUGUGCUCAAGAAG
rnacentral:rRNA from 1 species